rnacentral:rRNA from 1 species
GAUGAACGCUGGCGGCGUGCCUAAUACAUGCAAGUCGAGCGAACAGAUAAGGAGCUUGCUCCUUUGACGUUAGCGGCGGACGGGUGAGUAACACGUGGGUAACCUACCUAUAAGACUGGAAUAACUCCGGGAAACCGGGGCUAAUGCCGGAUAACAUUUAGAACCGCAUGGUUCUAAAGUGAAAGAUGGUUUUGCUAUCACUUAUAGAUGGACCCGCGCCGUAUUAGCUAGUUGGUAAGGUAACGGCUUACCAAGGCAACGAUACGUAGCCGACCUGAGAGGGUGAUCGCCCACACUGGAACUGAGACACGGUCCAGACUCCUACGGGAGGCAGCAGUAGGGAAUCUUCCGCAAUGGGCGAAAGCCUGACGGAGCAACGCCGCGUGAGUGAUGAAGGUCUUCGGAUCGUAAAACUCUGUUAUUAGGGAAGAACAAAUGUGUAAGUAACUGUGCACGUCUUGACGGUACCUAAUCAGAAAGCCACGGCUAACUACGUG